rnacentral:rRNA from 1 species
AGAACGAACGCUGGCGGCAUGCCUAAUACAUGCAAGUCGAACGAACUCUUCGGAGUUAGUGGCGCACGGGUGCGUAACGCGUGGGAAUCUGCCCCUUGGUUCGGAAUAACAGUUGGAAACGACUGCUAAUACCGGAUGAUGACGAAAGUCCAAAGAUUUAUCGCCAAGGGAUGAGCCCGCGUAGGAUUAGCUAGUUGGUGAGGUAAAGGCUCACCAAGGCAACGAUCCUUAGCUGGUCUGAGAGGAUGAUCAGCCACACUGGGACUGAGACACGGCCCAGACUCCUACGGGAGGCAGCAGUAGGGAAUAUUGGACAAUGGGCGAAAGCCUGAUCCAGCAAUGCCGCGUGAGUGAUGAAGGCCUUAGGGUUGUAAAGCUCUUUUACCCGAGAUGAUAAUGACAGUAUCGGAGAAUAAGCCCGGCUAACUCCGCGCCAGCAGCCGC